rnacentral:lncRNA from 1 species
GUUGAACUAAAGAUACUCACACUCACAAUCACAUGACUGAUAUGCAGGUAGCCUAUCAUUUUAUUUAAUUUAACAUAUCUAGCACAAAAGAGUAAUAACACACUUAAUCAGCGUGGUCAGGAUUUCUCCCAUACUGAGGAACUACAAGAAGAUAAAGAUCAUCAUUAACCAUUUCAUCAACAAGAGAGCCCUCGAGUUUGAUAAAAGGAGGAAGCCAUAAUGUCUCACCUGAAAAUUUCAGUGACAUAAUAUAUAAAACGAUACGCAAUGAUUUCAAUGACAUAAUAUAUAAAAUGAUACUCAAUGAUCUUGUACUAAAACUAUUAUUUACCUGCAAAAGCAGUUUUCAUAAUCUUCAAUUCAGAAAGGCAGUCUCUGUCUG